rnacentral:lncRNA from 15 species
UGUUAAAUUGGGGUAGAGCAGGGACUUAGGGUUAGCUUAGCAUAGCUUAACAUGGGUGGGAGGACCAGACAUAUGCCAAGGAGGCGCUUGGUCUUUAAGUUAGGUGAGAACUAGGAGCUGGGACCCACCGAAGUGGAUCCCAACAGUGCACGGGCCAUCAUCAGGGACGUCCAGUCCUCCGUCGCCAUCUUCCAGGUGGCGCUGGGCGCGACGUUUCGUCCGCUUCUUGGGACUUCCUCAGGCUUAAGGCCACAGCAUGCAGGAUUUCAUGGACUUCGUGGAGCUCCCUCAACACGGAAUAAGGUAAGGCUAGGGUUUUGAGGCUGGGAUUUUGGGGUUGGGACUUAAUUAGGGUUGUAGGACCUUAGGUUUAGGGCCACAAAAUGGGCUAGGGGAUAGGCCAAUUAAUGGGAAUCAGAGUGACAAAUUGGGACUGAUGUUAAAUUGGGGUAGAGCAGGGACUUAGGGUUAGCUUAGCAUAGCUUAACAUGGGUGGGAGGACCAGACAUAUGUCCAAGGAGGCGCUGGCUAAGUUAGGUGAGAACUAGGAGCUGGGACCCACCGAAGUGGAUCCCAACAGUGCACGGGCCAUCAUCAGGGACGUCCAGUCCUCCGUCGCCAUCUUCCAGGUAUGGGUUUGUAUAAUCUACUAUUUAGAUCAUGUUAGACAGGUUCGCUUUGUU